AGGCGCACCGCUGCGGACCGGACCGCCAGGAGCUUGGGUUGACCGAGCGCCGGCUGGCGGGGCGUUUGUUUGUCUUUUCGUGCGUCGUCUUCAGGAUCAGCUGCUCCAGGAAGCGAGAUGGCGAAGCCGCCACCCAAACCGGUCAAACCAGGCCCUGUGCAGAUCCCCUUCCAUCUACCUGCCUCAACCACGGUGGACAAGGAUUAGUGUACUGAAGUCCGGACCCAAAGAAAUAGUGUUUGGCUCAUGACUGGUGGACUCAGCCCUUCUCUAUGGGGACAGGGUGGGGUUGCAAAGAAAUGGAAAGGGUGUGCCUGGGAAGGUGAGAAGCCAGCAGAGUGAAAAACCAACAGGGGCCCGCAGCUGUGGGUGUUUACUUAUCUUGCUAACCUCAGGAAACCAGCCUUGCUGAAAUCCUUAAUACCAUUCGCAUGCUACUUCAUGUGAGAGCCACGUAAAACAUCAGGCAAAAGAUUGGGCUUCUUUCCAGUCUCAUUCAGGGUGAAUUCCAGGGUGAUUGCAGGUAAUCCAUGCAGUCUUCCCAGCUCUACUUUCUCUUUUUGUUAUGUGUAACCAGACUUCCAUGAGAAAAUGAUGAAGAUGGAAGUUGCCCGAAUAAGGCAUCGAAGUUAGCCUCCCUGCAUAUAUAAGAACACAACUAUUUCACAUUUGUGAAUCUGCUUUCUUUAAAUAAAAUUGGAAUUGAUCAGUA